GAUUAGCCCCGGUAGGAGCGGCAUCCUUUUGUGGCGGUCCAGAAGCCUCGGGAGCCACAAAAGAUACAGCGGAUAACGGGACGUCAU
rnacentral:sRNA from 1 species